rnacentral:rRNA from 1 species
GACGAACGCUGGCGGCGUGCUUAACACAUGCAAGUCGAGCGGAGCGGCGAACGGGUGAGUAACGCGUGAGUAACUGCCCCCCUCUCUGGGAUAACAGUUGGAAACGGCUGCUAAUACCGGAUAGUGGGGGAUGACUCGCGUCCUAUCAGCUUGUUGGUGGGGUAGUGGCCUACCCAGGAGACGACGGGUAGCCGGCCUGGGAGGGCGACCGGCCCACUUGGGCGUAGGUACCGCCCAAAACUCGUCGGGAGGCAGCAGUGGGGAAGGAUGUACCAUUGGGGAAACCCUGAUGCAGCAACGCCGCGUGCGGGAUGACGGCCUUCGGGUUGUAAACCGCUUUCAUCCAUGACGCGGUAGUGGCAGAAGAAGCACCUGCUAACUACGUGCCAGCAGCCGCGGUAAUUC